rnacentral:rRNA from 1 species
UACGGGGGGGGCAAGCGUUAUCCGGAAUUACUGGGCGUAAAGGGCGUCUAGGCGGCGGUACAAGCGCGAUGUGAAAGCUCCUGGCUCAACUGGGAGAGUGCGUAGCGAACUGUGCAGCUAGAGGCCAGGCGAUGGGGGUGGAAUUCCCGGUGGAGUGGUGAAAUUCGUAGAUAUUCGCAAGAACACCAGUGGCGAAGGCGGACUCGCUGGUC